UUAAGCGACUAAGCGUACACGGUGGAUGCCCUGGCAGUCAGAGGCGAUGAAGGACGUGCUAAUCUGCGAUAAGCGUCGGUGAGGUGAUAUGAACCGUUAUAACCGGCGAUUUCCGAAUGGGGAAACCCAGUGUGUUUCGACACACUAUCAUUAACUGAAUCCAUAGGUUAAUGAGGCGAACCGGGGGAACUGAAACAUCUAAGUACCCCGAGGAAAAGAAAUCAACCGAGAUUCCCCCAGUAGCGGCGAGCGAACGGGGAGCAGCCCAGAGCCUGAAUCAGUGUGUGUGUUAGUGGAAGCGUCUGGAAAGGCGCGCGAUACAGGGUGACAGCCCCGUACACAAAAAUGCACAUGCUGUGAGCUCGAUGAGUAGGGCGGGACACGUGGUAUCCUGUCUGAAUAUGGGGGGACCAUCCUCCAAGGCUAAAUACUCCUGACUGACCGAUAGUGAACCAGUACCGUGAGGGAAAGGCGAAAAGAACCCCGGCGAGGGGAGUGAAAAAGAACCUGAAACCGUGUACGUACAAGCAGUGGGAGCCUCUUUAUGGGGUGACUGCGUACCUUUUGUAUAAUGGGUCAGCGACUUAUAUUCUGUAGCAAGGUUAACCGAAUAGGGGAGCCGAAGGGAAACCGAGUCUUAACUGGGCGUUAAGUUGCAGGGUAUAGACCCGAAACCCGGUGAUCUAGCCAUGGGCAGGUUGAAGGUUGGGUAACACUAACUGGAGGACCGAACCGACUAAUGUUGAAAAAUUAGCGGAUGACUUGUGGCUGGGGGUGAAAGGCCAAUCAAACCGGGAGAUAGCUGGUUCUCCCCGAAAGCUAUUUAGGUAGCGCCUCGUGAAUUCAUCUCCGGGGGUAGAGCACUGUUUCGGCAAGGGGGUCAUCCCGACUUACCAACCCGAUGCAAACUGCGAAUACCGGAGAAUGUUAUCACGGGAGACACACGGCGGGUGCUAACGUCCGUCGUGAAGAGGGAAACAACCCAGACCGCCAGCUAAGGUCCCAAAGUCAUGGUUAAGUGGGAAACGAUGUGGGAAGGCCCAGACAGCCAGGAUGUUGGCUUAGAAGCAGCCAUCAUUUAAAGAAAGCGUAAUAGCUCACUGGUCGAGUCGGCCUGCGCGGAAGAUGUAACGGGGCUAAACCAUGCACCGAAGCUGCGGCAGCGACACUAUGUGUUGUUGGGUAGGGGAGCGUUCUGUAAGCCUGUGAAGGUGUACUGUGAGGUAUGCUGGAGGUAUCAGAAGUGCGAAUGCUGACAUAAGUAACGAUAAAGCGGGUGAAAAGCCCGCUCGCCGGAAGACCAAGGGUUCCUGUCCAACGUUAAUCGGGGCAGGGUGAGUCGACCCCUAAGGCGAGGCCGAAAGGCGUAGUCGAUGGGAAACAGGUUAAUAUUCCUGUACUUGGUGUUACUGCGAAGGGGGGACGGAGAAGGCUAUGUUGGCCGGGCGACGGUUGUCCCGGUUUAAGCGUGUAGGCUGAUUUUCCAGGCAAAUCCGGAAAAUCAAGGCUGAGGCGUGAUGACGAGGCACUACGGUGCUGAAGCAACAAAUGCCCUGCUUCCAGGAAAAGCCUCUAAGCAUCAGGUAACAUCAAAUCGUACCCCAAACCGACACAGGUGGUCAGGUAGAGAAUACCAAGGCGCUUGAGAGAACUCGGGUGAAGGAACUAGGCAAAAUGGUGCCGUAACUUCGGGAGAAGGCACGCUGAUAUGUAGGUGAAGCGACUUGCUCGUGGAGCUGAAAUCAGUCGAAGAUACCAGCUGGCUGCAACUGUUUAUUAAAAACACAGCACUGUGCAAACACGAAAGUGGACGUAUACGGUGUGACGCCUGCCCGGUGCCGGAAGGUUAAUUGAUGGGGUUAGCGGUAACGCGAAGCUCUUGAUCGAAGCCCCGGUAAACGGCGGCCGUAACUAUAACGGUCCUAAGGUAGCGAAAUUCCUUGUCGGGUAAGUUCCGACCUGCACGAAUGGCGUAAUGAUGGCCAGGCUGUCUCCACCCGAGACUCAGUGAAAUUGAACUCGCUGUGAAGAUGCAGUGUACCCGCGGCAAGACGGAAAGACCCCGUGAACCUUUACUAUAGCUUGACACUGAACAUUGAGCCUUGAUGUGUAGGAUAGGUGGGAGGCUUUGAAGUGUGGACGCCAGUCUGCAUGGAGCCGGCCUUGAAAUACCACCCUUUAAUGUUUGAUGUUCUAACGUUGGCCCCUGAUCGGGGUUGCGGACAGUGUCUGGUGGGUAGUUUGACUGGGGCGGUCUCCUCCUAAAGAGUAACGGAGGAGCACGAAGGUUGGCUAAUCCUGGUCGGACAUCAGGAGGUUAGUGCAAUGGCAUAAGCCAGCUUGACUGCGAGCGUGACGGCGCGAGCAGGUGCGAAAGCAGGUCAUAGUGAUCCGGUGGUUCUGAAUGGAAGGGCCAUCGCUCAACGGAUAAAAGGUACUCCGGGGAUAACAGGCUGAUACCGCCCAAGAGUUCAUAUCGACGGCGGUGUUUGGCACCUCGAUGUCGGCUCAUCACAUCCUGGGGCUGAAGUAGGUCCCAAGGGUAUGGCUGUUCGCCAUUUAAAGUGGUACGCGAGCUGGGUUUAGAACGUCGUGAGACAGUUCGGUCCCUAUCUGCCGUGGGCGCUGGAGAACUGAGGGGGGCUGCUCCUAGUACGAGAGGACCGGAGUGGACGCAUCACUGGUGUUCGGGUUGUCAUGCCAAUGGCACUGCCCGGUAGCUAAAUGCGGAAGAGAUAAGUGCUGAAAGCAUCUAAGCACGAAACUUGCCCCGAGAUGAGUUCUCCCUGAGACUUAGAGUCUCCUGAAGGAACGUUGAAGACGACGACGUUGAUAGGCCGGGUGUGUAAGCGCAGCGAUGCGUUGAGCUAACCGGUACUAAUGAACCGUGAGGCUUAACCUU
rnacentral:rRNA from 1 species